AAUCAACGCUGGCGGCGUGCCUAACACAUGCAAGUCGUACGAGAAAGUGGAGCAAUCCAUGAGUACAGUGGCGACCGGGUGAGUAACACGUGACUAACCUACCCUCGAGUGGGGAAUAACUCCGGGAAACCGGAGCUAAUACCGCAUAAUAUCGCGAGAUCAAAGCAGCAAUGCGCUUGAGGAGGGGGUCGCGGCUGAUUAGCUAGUUGGCGGGGUAACGGCCCACCAAGGCGAAGAUCGGUAUCCGGCCUGAGAGGGCGCACGGACACA
rnacentral:rRNA from 1 species